AGCGAACGCUGGCGGCAGGCUUAACACAUGCAAGUCGAACGGGCAUCUUCGGAUGUCAGUGGCAGACGGGUGAGUAACACGUGGGAACGUACCCUUCGGUUCGGAAUCACUCAGGGUGACUUGAGUUCAUACCGGAUACGCCCUUUUGGGGAAAGAUUUACUGCCGAAGGGUCGGCCCGCGUCUGAUUAGUUUGUUGGUGGGGUAACGGCCAACCAAGGCGACGAGCAGAAGCUGGUCUGGAAGGAGGAUCAGCCACACUGGGACUGAGACACGGCCCAAACCCCUCGGGAAGGCAGCAGGGGGGAUUAUGGAACAACGGGCGCAAGCCGAAUCCAGCCAGGCCGCGGAAGUGAGAAAGGCGUGAGGGUGGAAAGGCUCUUUAGUCCUGGACGUUAUGACCGUAACCGGAAAAAUAGGCCCCGCUUAACUCCUG
rnacentral:rRNA from 1 species